GCCAGGUGUGGUGGCGCACACCUGUAAUCCCAGCUACUAGGGAGGCUGAGGCAGGAGAAUCACUUGAACCUAGGAGGCAGAGGUUGCAGUGAGCUGAGAUUGUGCCACUGCACUCCAGCCUGGGUGACAGAGGGAGACUCUGCCUAAA
ensembl:misc_RNA Metazoa_SRP Metazoan signal recognition particle RNA